GAUGAACGCUAGCGGCAGGCUUAAUACAUGCAAGUCGAGGGGCAGCACGGGUAGCAAUACCUGGUGGCGACCGGCAAACGGGUGCGGAACACGUACAGAACCUUCCUUUAAGCGGGGGAUAGCCCAGGGAAACCUGGAUUAAUACCCCAUAGUAAUAUUGAUUGGCAUCAAUUGGUAUUUAAAGAUUUAUCACUUAAAGAUGGCUGUGCGUAUGAUUAGGUAGUUGGUGUAGGUAACGGCUCACCAGCCUUCGAUCAUUAACUGGUGUGAGAGCACGACCAGUCAC
rnacentral:rRNA from 1 species